UAGGGAAUAUUGCAAAAUGGGCGAAAGCCCGAUGCAGCAACGCCGCGUGGGCGAUGAAGGCCUUCGGGUCGUAAAGCCCUUUUUGAGGGGAUGAGGAAGGACAGUACCCUCAGAAUAAGCCUCGGCUAACUACGUGCCAGCAGCCGCGGUAAAACGUAGGAGGCGAGCGUUAUCCGGAUUUACUGGGCGUAAAGCGCGUGCAGGCGGAUUGGAGAGCUGGAUGUGAAAGCUCCCGGCUUAACUGGGAGAGGUCGUUCAAUACUUCCAGUCUUGAGUGCAGUAGAGGGAAGUGGAAUUCCGAGUGUAGUGGUGAAAUGCGUAGAUAUCCGGAGGAACACCAGUGGCGAAAGCGGCUUCCUGGACUGUAACUGACGCUCAGACGCGAAAGCUAGGGUAGCA
rnacentral:rRNA from 1 species